rnacentral:rRNA from 1 species
UACAGAGGUCUCAAGCGUUGUUCGGAUUCAUUGGGCGUAAAGGGCGCGUAGGCUGCGGGGUAAGUCGGGUGUGAAAUCUCAGAGCUCAACUCUGAAACUGCACUCGAUACUGCUUUGCUUGAGGACUGGAGAGGAGAUUGGAAUUCACGGUGUAGCAGUGAGAUGCGUAGAUAUCGUGAGGAAGACCAGUGGCGAAGGCGGAUCUCUGGACAGUUCCUGACGCUGAGGCGCGAAGGCCAGGGGAGCAAACGGG